rnacentral:tRNA from 13 species
GGAUAAACUGUAGAAACGUGGGCUCAUAACCCAGAGGUCCAUGGUUCAAAUCCAUGCCCCGCUACCA